rnacentral:rRNA from 1 species
GACGAACGUUGGCGGCGUGCUUAACACAUGCAAGUCGAACGGAAAGGCCCUGCUUUUGUGGGGUGCUCGAGUGGCGAACGGGUGAGUAACACGUGAGUAACCUGCCCUUGACUUUGGGAUAACUUCAGGAAACUGGGGCUAAUACCGGAUAGGAGCUCCUGCUGCAUGGUGGGGGUUGGAAAGUUUCGGCGGUUGGGGAUGGACUCGCGGCUUAUCAGCUUGUUGGUGGGGUAGUGGCUUACCAAGGCUUUGACGGGUAGCCGGCCUGAGAGGGUGACCGGCCACAUUGGGACUGAGAUACGGCCCAGACUCCUACGGGAGGCAGCAGUGGGGAAUAUUGCACAAUGGGCGGAAGCCUGAUGCAGCAACGCCGCGUGCGGGAUGACGGCCUUCGGGUUGUAAACCGCUUUCGCCUGUGACGAAGCGUGAGUGACGGUAAUGGGUAAAGAAGCACCGGCUAACUACGUGCCAGCAGCCGCGGUGAUACGUAGGGUGCGAGCGUUGUCCGGAUUUAUUGGGCGUAAAGGGCUCGUAGGUGGUUGAUCGCGUCGGAAGUGUAAUCUUGGGGCUUAACCCUGAGCGUGCUUUCGAUACGGGUUGACUUGAGGAAGGUAGGGGAGAAUGGAAUUCCAGGUGGAGCGGUGGAAUGCGCAGAUAUCAGGAGGAACACCAGUGGCGAAGGCGGUUCUCUGGGCCUUUCCUGACGCUGAGGAGCGAAAGCGUGGGGAGCGAACAGGCUUAGAUACCCUGGUAGUCCACGCUGUAAACGGUGGGUACUAGGUGUGGGGUCCAUUCCACGGGUUCCGUGCCGUAGCUAACGCUUUAAGUACCCCGCCUGGGGAGUACGGCCGCAAGGCUAAAACUCAAAGGAAUUGACGGGGCCCCGCACAAGCGGCGGAGCAUGCGGAUUAAUUCGAUGCAACGCGUAGAACCUUACCUGGGUUUGACAUGGAUCGGGAGUGCUCAGAGAUGGGUGUGCCUCUUUUGGGGUCGGUUCACAGGUGGUGCAUGGCUGUCGUCAGCUCGUGUCGUGAGAUGUUGGGUUAAGUCCCGCAACGAGCGCAACCCUUGUUCACUGUUGCCAGCACGUUAUGGUGGGGACUCAGUGGAGACCGCCGGGGUCAACUCGGAGGAAGGUGGGGAUGACGUCAAGUCAUCAUGCCCCUUAUGUCCAGGGCUUCACGCAUGCUACAAUGGCUGGUACAGAGAGUGGCGAGCCUGUGAGGGUGAGCGAAUCUCGGAAAGCCGGUCUUAGUUCGGAUUGGGGUCUGCAACUCGACCUCAUGAAGUCGGAGUCGCUAGUAAUCGCAGAUCAGCAACGCUGCGGUGAAUACGUUCCCGGG